UGUGAACGCUGGCGGUAGGCCUAACACAUGCAAGUCGAACGGCAGCACAGUAAGAGCUUGCUCUUACGGGUGGCGAGUGGCGGACGGGUGAGGAAUACAUCGGAAUCUACUUUUUCGUGGGGGAUAACGUAGGGAAAUUUACGCUAAUACCGCAUACGACCUACGGGUGAAAGCAGGGGAUCUUCGGACCUUGCGCGAUUGAAUGAGCCGAUGUCGGAUUAGCUAGUUGGCGGGGUAAAGGCCCACCAAGGCGACGAUCCGUAGCUGGUCUGAGAGGAUGAUCAGCCACACUGGAACUGAGACACGGUCCAGACUCCUACGGGAGGCAGCAGUGGGGAAUAUUGGACAAUGGGCGCAAGCCUGAUCCAGCCAUACCGCGUGGGUGAAGAAGGCCUUCGGGUUGUAAAGCCCUUUUGUUGGGAAAGAAAAGCAGCAGGUUAAUACCCCGCUGUUCUGACGGUACCCAAAGAAUAAGCACCGGCUAACUUCGUG
rnacentral:rRNA from 1 species